GAUCUCUCAAUAUUGCGGCAAGGAUCACGAGGACCGACCCUGUUACCGCAUCAACAAAACCUGUCACAUAUGUGGUAAUGCCCAAUAUUAUGCGAGAGAGUGCCAAAGGAACCAGAAUCAAGGAAAACCUCCUAUCCAAGGCAUGGCUUACAAUCUCACCCAGCAGGACGCUUAAGCCAACCUGGACGUGGUAUAGGGUAUGUAUACUAUCUGUAACUAUCUU
rnacentral:lncRNA from 1 species